rnacentral:lncRNA from 1 species
CCUGUUCCUAGAUGUUGUAGUUCUUUGACUCAAGGAUUUACUGGAUGGACAGUGACCUCAAAGGAGGGAAAGGAGCAUUUGGAACAGCCAGAAGAGAAGGCCCUAGAUUAAGCCUGGGCCAGUGACAGAGCCUCACCGUCUGGGGAUGGACGUUUCCCCAGGAAGUUAUUGUCCAGACACUGGAAGACAUCAUCGAAUGAAAAGGUGGAAGCAGGCAGAUCCUGAUGUGUAGAGAGCCACAGAAAGAGCCAGAGCCAUCAGCCUGGGAAGAGAAAGGAAGCCAUGCCAGCUGCUCGUAGGAAAUGUGCCACUGAAAUGAAAGUUACAGCUCACCUUCCCAGUGAUAUUAGUGACAGCUGGGCAGCACAACUUCUCUGCAGCCUUCCGUCACCACAGCUCAUCUUGAAGCUCUGACUGCAUGUUGCCAGUGUUUAAAAUCAGAGUUUGGGGUGAGUGAAUGUGGCAGGGGAAACCCUCCCUUGAGUUUUGAUUAUACCUAGGAUUAUUGGAUAUUAAGUUCGGAGAAAUAAAGACAUUCAAGAACAUAAAUGGGAGUUCCCG